GAGUUCCUCAGUAUUACUGUAAAAUACAGUAAAGGGAGCAGAUAAAAUUUACCAUCAUUUAUAUAUGUGGGGCUAUGCAAGUAAAAUGAUUACUAAAACCAGAAGAGGAAGGUAGUACAAGAACCUAGGUCUUUUGCUUCUAAAGGUCAGUUUAAUUUCUCUUCAGUCACAACAAUUAAUGAGCAUUUUGCCAUUUGUUCGGUACCAUUAAUUUGAUAGCCUUUUCAAACGAAUGUGAAUGGGUUUGUAUCUCUUACUGGUUGUUUUGUAUUUGUAGGCAGCUGGGAUUAAUUAGGACAAAGUCAAUUGCACCAGCAAAUGAGAGUCUAAGCAGAAGCAAAUCCAAGCAAUUAUAUGACUACUUAAUUGUUAUUGAUUUUGAGUCUACUUGCUGGAAUGAUGGGAAGCAUCACAAUAGCCAAGAAAUAAUUGAAUUUCCAGCGGUAUUACUGAAUACAUCAACUGGAGAGAUUGAAUCUGAAUUCCAUGCUUAUGUUCAGCCCCAAGAACACCCAAUUCUUUCUGAAUUUUGCAUGGAACUGACUGGCAUAAAGCAGGUAUGAUCACAAAUUCAGUAAUAAAUUUCAAAGUGAAAAUAAAAGUUAUAUACAUUUGGAAUUAGACUUAUUUAGUGUUAGGAGAAAAGUGUUCCCCUCCAGAAAUCCACAGGAAUUUUUAAAAUCAGAAAAUAUAGUGUUAGAAACACGAAGACCAGGCCUGGGGUGUAUAGCUCAGUGCUAAAGAGUUUGCCUAAAAUGUCUGAAGCCCCGGGUUUGGUCCUCCAGCAUUGCAGAAAAAAAAAAAAAAAAGAUCAAAUUUAUUUUAUGGAAAUCAAAUGAUUUAAAUUUAUCUUCUAUUUCCGUUAGUCUGUACCAGUGAUCGUGAACCUUCAGUGAUAACAGACAGCCUGCUGUGGCACAUGUGCCGUAGGUUCACCAUCAUUGAUCUAUAUGAUCGUAUUUGUGUGAUG